CAGCAGCCACGGUAAAACGUAGGGUGCAAGCGUUAAUCGGAAUUACUGGGCGUAAAGCGUGCGCAGGCGGCUUGUUAAGACAGAUGUGAAAUCCCCGGGCUCAACCUGGGAACUGCAUUUGUGACUGGCAAGCUAGAGUAUGGCAGAGGGGGGUGGAAUUCCGCGUGUAGCAGUGAAAUGCGUAGAUAUGCGGAGGAACACCGAUGGCGAAGGCAGCCCCCUGGGCCAAUACUGACGCCCAUGCACGAAAGCGUGGGGAGCAAACAGGAUUAGAUACCCCAGUAGUCCCUGUCUCUUAUAC
rnacentral:rRNA from 1 species